UACGUCGGGUGCGAGCGUUGUCCGGAAUUAUUGGGCGUAAAGGGCUCGUAGGCGGUCUGUUGCGUCAGGAGUGAAAACUCGGGGCUUAACCCCGAGCCUGCUUCUGAUACGGGCAGACUAGAGGUAUGCAGGGGAGAACGGAAUUCCUGGUGUAGCGGUGAAAUGCGCAGAUAUCAGGAGGAACACCGGUGGCGAAGGCGGUUCUCUGGGCAUUACCUGACGCUGAGGAGCGAAAGUGUGGGGAGCGAACAGG
rnacentral:rRNA from 1 species